rnacentral:rRNA from 1 species
UAGAUGCGAGAGUAGAGCAUAUCAAUAAGCGGAGGAAAAGAAACUAACAAGGAUUCCCUUAGUAACGGCGAGUGAAGCGGGAAGAGCUCAAAUUUGAAAUCUUCAAGGUUCUACCUUGACGAAUUGUAGUUUAUAGAAGUGUUUUCUGUUAGUAGAGUGGCAAAAGUUCUUUGGAAUAGGACAUCAUAGAGGGUGAGAAUCCCGUAUUUGGUCAUUCUUUCUAGCUUUGUGAUACACUUUCAACGAGUCGGAUUGUUUGGGAAUGCAGUCCAAAAUGGGUGGUAAAUUUCAUCUAAAGCUAAAUAUUGGCGAGAGACCGAUAGCGAACAAGUACCGUGAGGGAAAGAUGAAAAGAACUUUGAAAAGAGAGUUAAACAGUACGUGAAAUUGUCAAAAGGGAAGCGUUUGACACCAGUGUUGUUUUUCCGAAAAUCAAUUACGAAUGUUUUAUUUUUGAGAAGUUAUGACUUCAUCGGCUUGCUCCUUUCUUUACUGAAACUUUCUUAAUGCACUUUUCGGUUAACAAGUCAACAUCAAUUUCUUUUGUUGUAAAAGGGUAUGAGGAAGGUGGCUUUCUUUUCGGAGAAAGUGUUUAUAGCCUUGUGCCUCUGCAAUCGGAGAGAUUGAGGUCUGCAGCGUAGAUCCUUCGGGGUUAGAUACGUUUGUGCUAAGUUAUAGCUUUUCAUAGACAACUUGUUGACUAUGUUAAGUCUUGUACUUACUCGCAUGACUGCUAUUUUACCUACGCUUAGGAUGUUGACGCGCGUGUGUGCGUG